rnacentral:rRNA from 1 species
UACAGAGGGUGCAAGCGUUAAUCGGAAUUACUGGGCGUAAAGCGUGUGUAGGUGGUUUGCUAAGUCAGGUGUGAAAUCCCUGGGCUCAACCUAGGAAUUGCAUUUGAUACUGGCAGACUCGAGUGCGGUAGAGGAUGGUGGAAUUCCCGGUGUAGCGGUGAAAUGCGUAGAUAUCGGGAGGAACAUCAGUGGCGAAGGCGGCCAUCUGGACUGACACUGACACUGAGACACGAAAGCGUGGGGAGCAAACAGG